AGACAGAGUCUUGCUCUCAAGCUGGAGUGCAGUGAUGCGAUAUCAGCUCACUGCAACCUCUGCCUCCUGGGCUCAAGUGAUCCUCUUGCCUUAGGCGCCUUAGUAGCUGGGGCUACAGGCAUGCACCACCAAACCUGGCUAAUUUUUGUACUUUUAGAGGAGACAGGGUUUUGCCAUGCUGUCCAGGCUGAUCUCAAACUCCUGGGCUCAAGAAAUCCCCCUACUUCAGCCUCCCAAAGUGCUGGGAUUAUAGGUGUAAGCCACCGCACCCUGCCAACCUGAGUCUUAGCUGAGUAUGCAGUGCAUAGAAAUUCCUAGUAACUGUUAGGCAGUAUAAUUAAUAAUAUGACUGAUGUAAAUAUUUCAGUGAGCUGGGAAUUUGUAUAACACUUUACUUCAAUGGCAUAAAAAUCUAAGAAACCAAGGAGGAAAAGUCAUGAAAGCUGGGGAGGAGGGGUAAUCAGGGAAUCCAAAGGAAAUAGAAUGAUUUUGUGCUUUUGAUCAAUAGUGAGUCAGUUUCUGCUUAGCACUAAUAAAUCCCUUAGGAAGGAGCAUGAUUAAACAUUUGCCGUUUGAUGCAUUUCUUUUUCCCACAGGGAUGAUCUAAUGAGUGGAAUGCCUUUAGGAGGCCACCCACAUAUUUUCCCCAUAGGAUCAAUCUCAAAUGGCAGCAGUACUAUCACACUCUAAAUACCAUCUCUACCUGCCCACCCCCAUUCAAGCUGUACACAUUUACUUCCCUAACUGUGUUCUCUUCCCUGAACUCAUCUCAUAUCCUAUUAUUUACUUACAACCAUUUGGAUUUCUAAUAGACAUAGAAAACUUAACAUGUCCCCCCAGAAGUCUAUUAAUUUUCUUCCUGCACACACUGCCCUCACUCCAGGUCUGCUCUGUCUCAACUCUUCCUCAUCUCAAUAAAUGAUAUCUCAAUUCAUUUUAGCAAUUGCUCAUGCCAAAAGCUUUGGAGUCAUCUUGGUGUCUCCCUUUCCCUCAGACUCCACAUUCUAUACAUAAGAAGUCUCGUGGGCUUCUGAUGACAUCUCCUCACCUCUGCUGCAUAGCCUAAGCCAUCACUCCUCUUGCCAGGGCUACUGCAGCAGCCCCCAAAGUCUCCUUGUCCCAUUGCAGUAUACUUUACACGCAGUAGCUGGAGUGAUCAUUUCAAAAUCAGAUAAUAUUACCUUAAAGCUGUAUGAUGGCUUCUUACUGCUUUUGGAACAAAUUUCAAACUCUUUACCACACCUUCUAAGGAUUUUCAUGAUUAUCACAAUACUUCUUUGACCUCACCACUUGAUCAACUUGACUUCUUCUUCCUCUUAUUUUCCUUCCUCUUCUUAAUAUUAUUUUUAAUUGAUAAAUCACAAUUUUAUACCUUUAUGGGGUACAAUGUGAUAUACACACACACACACACAAAAUGUGGGAUGAUUAACUCAAGCUAAUUAACAUAUCUGUCACCUCACUUAUUUAUCACUUUUUUGUGAUAAGAUGUGAAAUUUACUCUCUUAGUUAUUUUGAAAUAUACAAUACAUUAUUGACUGUAGUCAUCCUGUGUUCAACAAAUCUCAAAAACAUAUUCCUCUUGUCUAUCUGAAACUUUGUAGCCUUUGACCAACAACUCCCCAUUCCCUGCUCCUGCUUCCCCCAGCCUCUGGUAACCAUCAUUCUACUCUCUACUUCCAUGAGCUCAGCUUGACUUCUUCAUAGCACUUGUUAUCUGAUGUUACUCUCUCUCUCUCUCUCUCUCUCUCUCUAUAUAUAUAUAUAUAUAUAUAUAUUUGUUGUUUGGCUUGCUUUUUUUUUUAGAGACAGGGUCUCAAUAUGUUGCCAGGCUGAUCUCAAACCUCAAACUCCUGGCCUCAGGCAAUCCUCCCACCUCGGCCUCCCGAAGUGCUGGGAUUACAGAUGUGAGCCACUGUGCCCGGCCUUGGCUUGCAUUUUCUACGUCCUCCCCACUAGAAUGUAAAUUCCAAACAAAUAAGAACUUUAUAUAUUACAUUCAUUGCAGUAUCUUCAGCACCUAGAAUAGUAAAUGGACAAUACGUACUUAUUGAGAUGAGAUAUUUUGGUCUCAAACAACAGGAGCUCAGUCUGGAUGCCUGAUGUAGCUGUUGAGAAUACCAGUUCUGCCACGGUGAUAUGAAUUAGUGACUAGGGAGACUUAGGUGAGAAUAUAUUGGUAGAACAGUGAUAAUAUUUUGAUACUUUAAAGUUUAUAAAACCCUUUCACAUACAUAAUCUCCUUUGACUCUCUAACUCUGCAAUGUCAGCACAGCUGACUAGGAAUUAUUACCCCAUUUUGAGAAUGUAUAAACUCUCAGAGUGUAAAAGGUAUCUCCAAAAUCAUGCAGUGCUUGUGACCUUCAGGCCAAUGAGGAUUAUUUUGGAACUUCUAUGGUAGGAGGCAGUGUAGAACAGUGGCUUAGGGAUACAAACUUUGGAACCAUGCAGAUCUGGUUCUCAUUCAGCCACUUAUCAGCCAGACAUUUACUUUUCCCCACCUGUAAAAUGGGGAAAUAGGAUCAGUUGAAAGAACUUACGUACAGCUCUUAGCACUGUAAGUGCCUGGCAUGUAGCAGAUGGCUGAUCUAUGUGCACAUGAGUAUAUCUGUUUUAUUAGACACUAGGAUGUUUUGGAGCAACUAGUUCAGCCUGGUCUCCCUGGCAUCAUUUGGAUUCCUGAGGGAAUCACUAACACAGAGGAGAUUCUUAUCUGUUCCAUUCUAAGCCAAGGGGGAGGAUUCUGGAGUCUUCUUCCCAGACUGUGAGCUGGAAGUCUCCAGGGCGAUUCUGCAUCAUUUGAAGAGCCCUAAAUGCCAUUUCAGAUGCCACACUACUCUGUACUCAAAAAACAUUUCAAAUAACUACCUCCCCAGUAAGUCUAUUAUAUGCAAGGCCAUGUGUCUGAUCCCCAAGGCCUAGAUGCUGAUAAGUUACCUGUCCCCAGAACUCAAAUCUUAGAGCACUUGCGCAUCAGUAUCGCUUGAGAGUUGAACAAAAAAUCAGUGCUCAGGUGUCACCCCCAAAGAUUUAGAUUCAUUUAGUCUAGCAUAGAGAUUCUUUGCCUUUAGCAUGCAUCAGAUUCACCUGGAGGGCUUAUUAAAACAGAUUUCUGGGGCCCCCAAAUCCUGUUUCUGAUUCAUUCGUUUUAAAGUGGGACCUGAGAAUUUGCAUUUUAAGUGAAUUUGUGUUUCAAGUGAAUUUGCAUUUCAGGUAUUGCUGAUGCUGCUGGUACCUGGACCAAACUUUGAGAACCAUUUGAAUACAGAAGGAGUACCCUAAUAGCCUAACAAAAUUAAUCCAUCAUCUCUGAAUAAUGAUCAAUUAUAUUAGUAAGUUCCUGAGCCAUCCACUUUCUUCUUUCGAACAGACAUUAAAUCACUAUAAAAUUAUUCCUGAAGCUACCUGUUAUUCUUUGCCAAAUGUCUAGGUGUUUAUCCAUGUUGGGAUAAUGGGCCUUUCCCAGAUAAUGGCUCAUCUUCCCUGUCAUUUGCUCUUUAACAAUGUAGCACCUUUGACUGCACUGCAACUUGGCCAUCUGAGCUUCUGCAAUUCCUUCCCAUUUAUAUCUGUAGAAAAUUAUUUUUGGUCAUAGGUUGGUGCAAAAUAAAACCCUUAAUUUGGAUAUCCCUUCCCAGGAAGAUCUGGGUUUAGACAAGGCAGCCAGUGGUUAAAGACGCAGAGUGCUGGUCCAGGAGGUUUAUCAGCCAGAAGUAAGAAUGAGUAGGAAGGUGUGCCUUUAGUUGGAGGUCACACUUGAGAAUUCUACAGAGCAAUUUUAAGAACAGUCAGAAAUCUGAACGUUAUCAUCUCCCACAGCUUUCUGGAGCUUUGGCUCAUGGUAGGCAGGUAAAAUCUGUGGCUAUCAGAAGGCAGGUGUGGUUCUCCAGGCUAGACUGGCUGUUCAGCCCCUACCUACUAGAAUUUAAAAGGGUGUUUCCUAUUGCUGCCCAGAUUCCUUUAUGAUAGAGAACAUCUAGGAUGGACAUCUUCUAUAGCACAUGAGAGGACCUGGGGGAGACCCAGGACUGAGGAUCAAGUCUCUCAGUUUCUUUUGCAUCAAUGCAGUGAUGGAGGCAGAGGCAUUAAAAAAACAAAACUUACUCUGGACCAUGCUCACUGUUAAAUAGAGGCUUAAGGCAAAAGCUCUUAGAUGUAUGUGAGUAAUGAUGAGUAAAAGAUGCAGCUGCAACUAAUUAGGUAAUACCAUAUUUAGAAGAAAAGACUUCGUUUUGGAGAUAUGCAUGAUACAUAGAAAUAUACUUGACACCCAUAAUGUAUCAAGACAAAAAUAGAUAUACUUUUAUCAUAGAACUGCAAGAAAAUCACUUUAUGCAUAAAUUCUCAAAGCUUUCUCUCCCUGUCACUGCUUAGAUUUAAUCAAUGUAUAGACUAAUUAUGUUUACUCCCUCUUAAUCCUGCCUUUGUCUAUGACCCUGAAAAAGAACAAAAUAUUCUCUUUGGUAGCAAGAAUAAGAAAGAACAUCAGAAGCUCCUACACGUUUUCCAUUGCUUAGUUCUUAUCUCUGUUGGCUUACCUGGUGUUGCCUCUCACAGCUGUAUUCAAUCAGUGCUCGUAGCCAGGAAAUGCUCUGUUCACCUCUUCUCCUCCAUAAGAGGGACUCUUCACUGUCUUCUUCCUUUUUCAGAUAAACACUCAGCAGGCCAGUGCCCCCUCCAUACAUGUGGUAGAAAAAGGUCAAGCAGUGUUUUCCAGAGACUCCUCGCAGAGGCCUGGACAAGAGGCGUGCUUUUUGUCCAUACACCAUAUGGGAGGCCUCAAUGUACAUGUAGUAGCCUUGAGGUGAAUGCAAAAGCAGGCGCACACACCAAGAAAGGCCAUGUGGGCACACAGCAAGAUGGUGCCUGUCUGCAAACUAGGAAAAGAGCCCUCACCAGGAACUGAAACAGCUGGCACCUUGAUGUUGGACUUUCCAGCCUCCACAACUGUGAGAGGUAAGUUUCUGUUGUUUAAACCACCUAGUCUAUGAUAUUUUGUUAUGGCAGCCCAAGCAAACACCAACAUUUGCCAAUUUUGAUUUAUUUUUUACAUAUAUGAUGUAAAAAGUAAUCUUUACAAAGUAUCAUAUGUCUCAUUAUUUCAUGCAGAAAUUGGUGACCAAAUCAAGGGGAAAAAUAAAGAGAUCCCAAAUAAUACAUGCAAAUUAAAUGGUUUCUUUAUAGUUUGAAGUUUAAUCAAUGAACUCUAAUUAAUCAUUUCCAAAAAUAUGGCAAUCGAGACAUCCAAACAAGAAUUGGUUAGAAGUCCCCUCUAUGUGCCUGGGAGGCCUUUCUCCAUUCUCUUUUUCUUAUUUCUACAAACACAAAUCUGAGAAGUUCUAUAAGUUUAUUAAAACAGUGGGAGAAAGCAUCGUUGGUCUUAAUAAAUUGUGUGCACUGUGCAACCUCUUCCCCCAGUGUUUGUUUUACUCUAUAAAGUUCUCACCCUGCAAAACUGGGCUGACUCAGGAUAUGGCCUGCAUCAACCAGUCACAUAUAAGGAAUGACGCUGCCCCAAAGAAGCAAAAUCAGAGCAGAGUUCUGUGUCUGUCACUUCAGGUUGCCUGUUAACAAGGCAUGGUGCCACCAUAGGCUCCACUAGCUGGGGAUUCCUGAAUGCAGUGAACAAGUAGAAAUCAAAACCUCCUUUAGGAUACUCUAAAGACUACAUAUAUUUCAGUGCAGUUCAAAAGUAAAUUUUAAUUAGAAAGCUAAUUGGUUUAAAUAAGAAAUUGAAAUUGUGGGAGUGUCUUUGAUCUGGUAUGUUACAUUUGACAUCCAGUCAACUUCAACUUUUCAUCUCAUUGGCAGUAGUUUCAUCCAGAUGCAUGCUUAAGGGAAAUGGCAUAGCUGCCAACUUUCCCAUGAUCUGCUCAAAAAUAAUAGCAAAAAAACCUGUCAGUGUUCUGCAGUGCUCACCAGUGACAUCCUCAUUACGAACUCGAGUGGUCAGUUUUCAGUCUUUGUCAUUUUUGUAACAUUGGACAUAGUGGUUUACCACUUCAGAAAGUAGAAUUACAUUCUUACGUUGGCUUGCAAGACACUGUAUUCUCCUGCUUUUUCUCCUUCCUCACUGGUGACUCCUUUGCUGGUCACUUUUUUCACAAUUCCACUCUCUCUUUCCUGACCUUUUGACCCUGGAGUGCCCCAAGGUCCAGUUUUUACUUCGCUAUUCUUACUUCCUUGAUGAUCUCAUCUUGUUUCAGGGCUUUAAAUACCAAAUAUGUUAUAUCUCAAACUCAAAUUUUCAACCUUUUUGCUGAAAUCUAGACUUGUUCAAACUGUCUAAUGGACAUCUCCACUUACUGUCAGGUAGACAUCUCACACUGAGCAUAUUCAAAACUCAACUUCCUGACAGCCUGAAGUAGACUAAAUAUCCAGUCGUUGACACCCAAAACCUGUGAGUCGCACACCACUACUCUCUUUUUCUGAUUCUCCACAUCAAGGCUAUCAGGAAUUCCCACUGGCUCUACCUUUAAAAUAUAUCCAGAAUCCAGUCACUUCUCUUCUUACCGCCUCCACUGCUAUCACCCUGGUCCAAGCUGCUAUCAUUUCUCGCUUGGAUUAAUGCAACAGCUUCCCAACUACUCUGUCUGCUUCUACUCUGGUCCCCUGCAAUCUCAUCUCAAAAUUGUAUUCAUAGUGCUCCUUCUAAAGCAAAAGCAAAAUCAUACCACUCAUUUAAAACCUUCCACUGGGUUAGCAUUUCAGAGUGAAAGCUAAAGUCCUUACAAUUGGCUUUAGAACCCCAUACAGUCUCCCACCUAUUCUCUUACCUGUCUCAUUCCUACUGGCUUUCUCCUCACUUACUGUGUUGCUUGGCCACACUGGCCUUUGUAUUAUUCCUGGAAUAUGGCAGGUAUGCUGCUGCCUGAAGGCCUUUGCAUGUGCUAAGUCUGGUUCUUCCUCUAGAUAUUCUCAGGUCUCACUCUCUUACCUCCUUUAAGUCUUUGCUCAGAUGUCACCUUUUCUAUUAGACCUGUUCUGACUAUACUAUUCCAAAUUGCAGUCCCUCUUCCCUGGCACUCCUCAUUCCUUAUACCCUAAUUUAUGUUUUCCAUAGUUAAUUGCCUCUUAACAUACUGUAUAAUUUUCUUAUUUUUAUGUUUGCCUGUCUCUUUCCUUUAGAAUUCACAAGGACAGAGAUUUUUUUUCUUGUUUAGUUCACUGCCACAUUCCCAGGUCCUAGAACAGUGCUUGGAACAUAGUAAAUGCUCAUUAAUAUCUGUUGAAUGGAUGAAUGAAUGCAUUUUUUCCCACAGCUCUAAGCACAAACCAGUUUGACCAUUUCUAGGGCACAUGGCUCCACCGUAGUCACUCCAAAUGUGUGAAGUUCUUGGCGGUGAGAUAUGCACUUGACUAUGAUGAUCCAAGGCAAACUAGAGCAAAUCCCAGUUUUGGUAAAAUUAAAGUCUUAUCAAAGCAAAUCAUCUCAGACAAGUUCUACACUAUCUGAAGUAUUUUUUAGAUGAACACAUAAUUCUUUCUUUGAGUUCAUUACCUUCAUUCUUUCACUGGCAAGCAAAUUGGUCCACAAGAAGCACAGGGGGUUUUGCACAUUCAAUGAUGAAAGGAAACUUUUUCUUUUGUACAUAUUUUCUUUAACAUUUUCUAACUUAGGUCAAUGUAAACAAUACAGAUAUACAUAAUCCUAACAGAAGGGUGUGUUUAAUUCCAUGGAAAGAGAGAUCAAGGCAUGAAAAUGACCAUAGUAUAUCACCUAACUAUGUACAAAGGAAUCCAAUGCUAUCCUACACAUAAGUUAGUAACAUGGUAGAUGGAAACAAUACCCUAAUACAUUUAGCUUAAAAAAAAUUCAUCCCAAAAGUAAUUUUUAAGACAAGAAAAAAAUGUUCACACCUGGCUAUGGAGCUCUGAAAAGGCCCACCUGAAUCCAAAGUAAAGGACCUUAGCUAUAGAUGAAAUUCUCAAUGAGGGGAAAAAGCUCCACUGAAAGAUGCUGUCACUGGGAAAGUGGAAAGUAGAGACUAAGGGCCCUGAAACAUGAAGUAUUUUCAAAAUGGAGGGGAAGUAAUGAAUUCAUCAUGAGAGAGAUGACCUAAGAAUUGUCUUUUGUUUAGUGAUCAUGGCUGUGCAUUCCUACUGGUAACAGUACAAGUCUUGACCAGGAUUAUUCUGAGGUCCUGGAAGAGAGGAAACCUCUUAAUUAUCCCCAGGAUCAUUCGAUUGACUUCUUUCUUUCAUGGGCACAAUGGACUAAUUCAUUUAGUUUGUGAGGGUGAAGCACUAGUCUGGUUGACCAGUUCUUCCCAACAGGUUUGGACUCUAACUAAAUCAGGGAUAGCCUGCACAGCCUCCUCUAACCAUCUGUUCUUUGGACCACACACAUCUCUACAGAUGUGACUCCUGAAGUCUACUAUGCUUUCAGUUCAUGUGCCCCUGGGCCACAGGUAUCAGGCUGAAACUAUUCACUAAGGUUUCCAGUUCCAGGAACCUUUGUAUUUAGUACCAUAAAAUAGGAGGAGGUUCCAAGAUGGCCAAAUAGGAACAGCUACAGUCUACAGCUCCCAGCAUGAGUGACGCAGAAGACGGGUGAUUUCUGCAUUUCCAACUGAGGUACUGGGUUCAUCUCACUGGGGCUUAUUGGACAGCGGAUGCAGCCCACGGAGUGUGAGCUGAAGCAGGGUGGGGCAUCACCUCACCCGGAAAGCGCAAGGGGUCGCAGAAUUCCCUUUCCUAGCCAAGGGAAGCCGUGACAAGGGAAACCUGGAAAAUCAGGACACUCCCACUCUAAUACUGCACUUUUCCAACAGUCUUAGCAAAUGGCACACCAGGAGAUUAUAUCCCGUGCCUGGCUCAGAGGGUCCCAAACCCACAGAGCCUCGCUCACUGCUAACACGGCAGUCUGAGAUUGAACUGCAAGGCAGCAGCGAGGCUGGGGAAGGGGCAUCUGCCAUUGCUGAGGCUUGAGUAGGUACACAAAGCGGCCAGGAAGGGCCAACUGGGUGGAGCCCACCACAGCUCAAGGAGGCCUGCCUGCCUCUGUAGACUCCACCUGUGGGGGCAGGGCAUAGCUGAACAAAAGGCAGCAGAAACUUCUGCAGACUUAAACGUCCCUGUCUGACAGCUUUGAAGAGAGUAGUGGUUCUCCCAGCAUGGAGUUUGAGAUCUGAGAACAGACAGACUGCCUCCUCAAGUGGGUCCCUGACCCCCAAGUAGCCUAACUGGGAGACACCUCCCAGUAGGGGCCAACUGACACUUAAUACAGCUGGGUGCCCCUCUGAGACAAAGCUUCCAGAGGAAUGAUCAGGCAGCAACAUCUGCCAUUCUGCAAUAUUUGCUGUUCUGCAGCCUCCGCUGCUGAUACCCAGGCAAACAGAGUCUGGAGUGGACCUCCAGCAAACUCCAACAGACCUGCAGUUGAGGGUCCUGACUGUUAGAAAGAAAACUAAUGAACAGAAAGGACAUCCACACCAAAACCCCAUCUGUACGUUACCAUCAUCAAAGACCAAAGGUAGAUAAAACCACAAAGAUAGGGAGAAACCAGAGCAGAAAAGCUGAAAAUUCUAAAAAUCAGAGCACCUCUUCUAUUCCAGAGGAACGUAGCUCCUCAUCAGUAACGGAACAAAGCUGGAUGGAGAAUGACUUUGACGAGUUGAGAGAAGAAGGCUUCAGACGAUCGGUAAUAACUAAUAGCUAAAGGUGGAUGUUUGAACCCAUCACAAAGAAGCUAAAAACCUUGAAAAAAGAUUAGAUGAAUGGCUAACUAGAAUAAACAGUAUAGAGAAGACCUUAAAUGACUUGAUGGAGCUGAAAACCAUGGCAAGAGAACUAUGUGAUGCAUGCACAAGCUUCAGUAGCUGAUUCGAUGAAAUGGAAGAAAGGUAAUCAGUGAUUGAAGAUCAAAUUAAUGAAAUGAAGUGAGAAGAGACGUUUAGAGAAAAAAAGAGUGAAAAGAAAUGAACAAAGCCUCCAAGAAAUAUGGGACUAUGUCAAAAGACCAAAUCUACAUCUGAUUGGUGUACCUGAAAGUGACGGGGAGGAUGGAACCAAGUUGGAAAACAGUCUUCAGGAUAUUAUCCAGGAGAACUUCCCCAACCUACCAAGGCAAGCCAACAUAGAAAUUCAGGAAAUUCAGAGAACGCCACAAAGAUACUCCUCGAGAAGAGCAAUCCCAAGACACAUAAUUGUCAGAUUCACCAAAGUGGAAAUGGAGGAAAAAUGUUAAGGGCAGCCAGAAAGGUCAGGUUACCCAUAAAGGGAAGCCCAUCAAACUAAUAGCUGAUCUCUUGGCAGAAACUCUACAAGCCAGAAGAGAGUGGGGGCCAAUAUUCAACAUUCUUAAAGAAAAGAAUUUUCAACCCAGAAUUUCAUAUCCAGCCAAACUAAGCUUCAUAAGUGAAGGAGAAAUAAAAUCCUUUAUAGACAAACAAAUGCUGAGAGGUUUUGUCACUACCAGGCCUGUCUUACAGAGCUCCCGAAGGAAGCACUAAACAUGAAAAGGAACAACCGGUACCAGCCACUGCAAAAACAUGCCAAAUUGUAAAGACCAUCAAUGCUAGGAAGAAACUGCAUCAACUAAUGAACAAAAUAACCAGCUAACGUCAUGACAGGAUCAAAUUCACACAUAACAAUAUUAACCUUAAAUGUAAAUGGGCUAAAUGCUCCAAUUAAAAGACACAGACUGGCAACUUGGAUAAAGAGUCAAGACCCAUCAGUGUGCUGUAUUCAGGAAACCCAUCUCACAUGCAAAGACACACAUAGGCUCAAAAUAAAGGGAUGGAGGAAGACCUACCAAGCAAAUGGAAAACAAGAAAAAGGCAGGGGUUGCAAUCCUAGUCUUCGAUAAAACAGACUUUAAACCAACAAAGAUCAAAAGAGACAAAGAAGGCCAUUACAUAAUGGUAAAGGGAUCAAGUCAACAAGAACUAACUAUCCUAAAUAUAUAUGCACCCAAUACAGAAGCAUCCAGAUUCAUAAAGCAAGUCCUUAGAGACCUACAAAGAGACUUAGACUCACAUACAAUAAUGAUGGGAGACUUUAACACCCCACUGUCAACAUUAGACAGAUCAACGAGACAGAAAGUUAACAAGGAUAUCCAGGAAUUGAACUCAUCUCUGCACCAAGCAGACCUAAUAGAUAUCUGCAGAACUCUCCACCCCAAAUCGACAGAAUAUACAUUCUUCUCAGCACCACAUUGCACUUAUUCCAAAAUUGACCACAUAGUUGGAAGUAAACCAUUCCUCAGCAAAUGUAAAAGAACAGAAAUUAUAACAAACUGUCCCUCAGACCACAGUGCAGUCAAACUAGAACUCAGAAUUUAAAAACUCACUCAAAACCGCUCAACUACAUGGAAACUGAACAACCUGCUCCUGAAUGACUAUUGGGUACAUAACGAAAUGAAGGCAGAGAUAAAGAUGUUCUCUGAAACCAAUGGGAACAAAGACACAAUAUACCAGAAUCUCUGGCACACAUUUAAAGCAGUGUGUAGAGGGAAAUUUAUAGCACUAAAUGCCCACAAGAGAAAGCAGGAAAGAUCUAAAAUUGACACCCUAACAUCACAAUUAAAAUAACUAGAGAAGCAAGAGCAAACACAUUCAAAAGCUAGCAGAAGGCAAGAAAUAACUAAGAUCAGAGCGGAACUGAAAGAGAUAGAGAUACGAAAGACCCUUCAAAAAAAUCAGUGAAUCCAGGAGCUGGUUUUUUAAAAAGAUCAAUAAAAUAGAUAGAUAGAUAGACCGCUCAGACUAAUAAAAAAGAACAGAGAAGAAUCAAAUAGAUGCAAUAAAAAAUGAUAAAGGGAAUAUCACAACUGAUCCUACAGAAAUACAAACUACCAUCAGAGAAUACUAUAAACACCUCUAUGAAAAUAAACUAGAAAAUCUAGAAGAAAUGGAUAAAUUCCUCAACACAUAUGCCCUCCCAAGACUAAACCAGGAAGAAGUUGAAUCCCUGAAUAGAGGAAUAACAGACUCUGAAAUUGAGGCAAUAAUUAAUAGCCUACCAACCAAAAAAAGUCCAGGACCAGAUGGAUUCACAGCCGAAUUCUACCAGAGGUACAAAGAGGAGCUGGUACAAUUCCUUCUGAAACUAUUCGAAUCAACAGAAAAAGAGGGAAUCCUCCCUAAUUCAUUUUAUGAGGCCAACAUCAUCCUGAUACCAAAGCCUGGCAGAGACGCAACAAAAAAGCAAAUUUUAGACCAAUAUCCCUGAUGAACAUCGACGCAAAAAUCCUCAAUAAAAUACUGGCAAACCGAAUCCAGCAGCACAUCAAAAAGCUUAUCCACCAUGAUCAAGUUGGCUUCAUCCCUGGGAUGCAAGGCUGGUUCAGCAUACACAAAUCAAUAAACAUAGUCCAUCAUAUAAACAGAACCAAAGACAAAAACCACAUGAUUAUCUCAAUAGACACAGAAAAGGCCUUUGACAAAAUUCAGCAGCCCUUCAUGCUAAAAAUUCUUAAUAAACUAGGUAUUGAUGGGACAUAUCUCAAAAUAAUAGCUAUCUAUGACAAACCCACAGCCAAUAUCAUACUGAAUGGACAAAAACUGGAAGCAUUCCCUUUGAAAACUGGCACAAGACAGGGAUGCCCUCUCUCACCACUCCUAUUCAGCAUAGUGUUGGAAGUUCUGGCCAGGGCAGUCAGGUAAGACAAAGAAAUAAAGGGUAUUAAGUUAGGAAAAGAGAAAGUCAAAUUGUGCCUGUUUGCAGAUGACAUGAUUGUAUAUUUAGAAAACCCCAUCAUCUCAGCCCAAAAUAUCCUUAAGCUGAUAAGCAACUUCAGCAAAGUCUCAGGAUACAAAAUCAAUGUGCAAAAAUCACAAGCAUUCCUAUACACCAAUACCAGACAAACAGAGAGCCAAAUCAUGAGUGAACUUCCCAUUCACAAUUGCUUCAAAGAGAAUAAAAUACCUAGGAAUCCAACUUACAAGGGAUGUGAAGGACCUCUUCAAGGAGAACUACAAACCACUGCUCAAUGAAAUAAAAGAGGACACAAAGAAAUGGAAGGACAUUCCAUGCUCAUGGAUAGGAAGAAUCAAUAUCAUGAAAAUGGCCAUACUGCCCAAGGUAAUUUAUAGAUUCAAUGCCAUCCCCAUCAAGCUACCAAUGACUUUCUUCACAGAAUUGGAAAAAACUACUUUAAAGUUCAUGUGGAAUCAAAAAAGAGCCCUCAGUGCCAACGCAAUCCUAAGCCAAAAGAACAAAGCUGGAAGCAUUACGCUACCGGACUGCAAACUAUACUACAAGGCUACAGUAACCAAAACAGCAUGGUACUGGUACCAAAACAGAGAUAUAGACCAAUGGAACAGAACAGAGCCCUCAGAAAUAAUACCACACAUCUACAACCAUCUGAUCUUUGACAAACCUGACAAAAACAAGAAAUGGGGAAAGGUUUCCCUAUUUAAUAAAUAGUGCUGGGAAAACUGGUUAGCCAUAUGUGGAAAGCUGUAACUGGAUCCCUUCCUUACACCUUAUACAAAAAUUAAUUCAAGAUGGAUUAAAAACUUAAAUGUUAGACCUAAAACCAUAAAAACCCUAGAAGAAAACCUAGGCAAUACCAUUCAGGACAUAGGCAUGGGCAAGGACUUCAUGUCGAAAACACCAAAAGCAAUGACAACAAAAGCCAAAAUUGACAAAUGGGAUCUAAUUAAACUAAAGAGCUUCUGCACAGCAAAAGAAACUACCAUCAGAGUGAACAGGCAACCUACAGAAUGGGAGAAAAUUUUUACAAUCUUCCCAUCUGACAAAGGGCUAAUAUCCAGAAUCUACAAAGAACUUAAAACAAAUUAACAAGAAAAAAAUCAAACAGCCCCAUCAAAAAGUGGGCAAAGGAUAUGAACGGACACUUCUCAAAAGAAGACAUUUAUGCAGUCAACAGACACAUGAAUAAUGCUCAUCAGCACUGGCCAUCAGAGAAAUGCAAAUCAAAACCACAAUGAGAUACCAUCUCACACCAGUUAGAAUGACGAUCAUUAAAAAGUCAGGAAACAAAAGGUGCUGGAGAGGAUGUGGAGAAAUAGGAACACUUUUACACUGCUGGUGGUUCUGUAAACUAGUUCAGCCAUUGUGGAAGACAGUGUGGUGAUUCCUUAAGGAUCUAGAACUAGAAAUACCAUUUGAUCCAGCCAUCCCAUUACUGGGUAUAUACCCAAAGGAUUAUAAAGCAUGCUGCUAUAAAGACACCUGCAUAUGUAUGUUUAUUUCAGCACUAUUCACAAUAGCAAAGCCUUGGAACCAACCCAAAUGUCCAUCAAUGAUAGACUGGAUUAAGAAAAUGUGGCACAUAUACACCAUGGAAUACUAUGCAGCCAUAAAAAAGGAUGAGUUCUUGUCCUUUGUAGGGACAUGGAUGAAGCUGGAAACCAUCAUUCUCAGCAAACUAUCACAAGGACAGAAAACCAAACACUGCAUGUUCUCACUCAUAGGUGGGAAUUGAACAAUGAGAACACUUGGACACAGGGUGGGGAACAUCACACACCGGGGCCUGUGGUGGGGUGGGGAGAGAGAGGAAGGAUAGCAUUAGGAGUUAUACCUAUUGUAAAUGACGAGUUAAUGGGUGCAGCACACCAACAUGGCACAUGUAUACAUAUGUAACAAAUGUGUACGUUGUGCACAUGUACCCUAGAACUUAAAGUAUAAUAAUAAUAAAAAAAGAUAUAUACCAAAAAAAAUAUGAAACAAAGUCUCCUAUGUUGCUUGUUGUAUAAUUGUGCUGCUUUUGGAAGAGAGGAGUAACAUCGAGGGGACUAUAAAUGCCCACUACUUUUCUUGAAUAAUUUUGGUCUUUGUAAAUAUCCUUCAGGAUAUAGUUUAUAUUCUAAGCACACACAGUAGUCUUCCUGAUCCUUAGUGUAUGUGUUCCAGGACCCCUAGUGGAGCCUGAAACCACAGAUAAUACCAAGCCGUGUAUAGACUGUUCCUGUACACAUAUACCUGUGAUAAAUUUUGUUAUAAAUUAGAUGCUGUAAGAGAUUAACAACAAUAACUCACAAUAAAAUAGAACAAUUAUAACAAUACUCUGGUGCACAAUUUAAAACUUAUAAAUUGGCCAGUUCUGGAAUUUCCCAUUUAAUAUUUUCAGACUGCCAUUGACUGAGAGUAACUGAAACUCUCAGUUGGAAAGUGAACCUGUGGAUAAGGGAGGACUACUUUAUGUCUAUUCCAUAAAGCAGUACCUAUGUAGAGUAAUGUAGACAAACAUCUUACCUAAACAUAAUUUUAACAAACUUACCAAUGAAUCAGAGUAUGCCCCUUUGAUGCACAAACCAGUCAUUCGUUUUGAUGACAAGUAUUUUUUUCUUCUUGACUUGCAAAUGACACUUGGUUUCCCCAGAAAAGAUCAGAACUUCACGCAGAGCCACUCUGCCUCACAUGUGUUUGGAAAGCAGAGAAAAGCCCUGUUUGACAAGUUUUACCACAUUACAGCUUCAAGCACUGUCUGUCUCAGCAAAGAAAAGCUCUGGAUGGGAGCCAGGAAGCCCCAGUAUUGAAGCUUCAGACCAGCUCACAUGUUGUUGCACAUGAAGGAUUCCAGUCUGUGGAAGGGAUUAUUAACUGGAGAAAAUAAAUUACAUUCUCUCUGUGGGUCACUGUUUAACAUUCAAGAUGGGGGUUCCAAUGGAUCUAUUGGGAGAUCAGGGUCCCCUCUGUUCUUUGCACAGCAACUGUGAUGUGUUGAGACACACAGACACAUUCCACAUCCAUAAUUCUGGACUGUGAAGCAGCUGUUCCUCCAGUCUCAGGGCUCUUUUUCAGGGUAGGGAAGGAGCCUGAGUGGCCUGCAUGGAGAGGCUGUGUGGAAUGGACAGCUAGCUGCAUUCCUUAGCUGGAAAAGAAUUCUUAAAAAUCAGGGGAAAAAGAUACCAAUAUUUUGUGAAGAACAAUUGUAGAAGGUGUCGCUCUAAAAUUUCUCUUUACUAUACUUUUAAGUGAUUUUAAAAGGCUGUCAUAAAUGAGGAGUUAUUGUUUAAUGGGUACGGAGUUUCAGUUUUGGGAAAUGAAAAAAAAGCUCUGGAGAUGGAUGGUGGUGAUGGUUACACAAUGAUGUGAAUAGACUCAGUGCCACUGAAUUAGACACUUAAAAUGGUUAAAGUAUGUUAUGUGCAUUUUACCACCAAUUUUUUAAAAAGCUUGUCACAGAAGCCUUCUCUGUGUAAGUAGAAUCUGGCAAUGUCAGAAACUAACAUAAUUAAAAAAUAAGCGGGGAGGAGCCAAGAUGGCCGAAUAGGAACAGCUCUGGUCUACAGCUCCCAGCGUGAGCGAGGCAGAAGACGGGUGAUUUCUGCAUUUCCAUCUGAGGUACCGGGUGCAUCUCACUAGGGAGUGCCAGACAGUGGGGGCAGGCCAGUGGGUGUGCGCACCAUGCGCGAGCUGAAGCAGGGCGGGGCAUUGCCUCACCUGGGAAGCACAAGGGGUCAGGGAGUUCCCUUUCCAAGUCAAAGAAAGGGGUGAAGGACACACCUGGAAAAUCGGGUCACUCCCACCCGAAUAUUGCUCUUUUCAGACCGGCUUAAAAAACGGCGCACCACGAGACUAUAUCCCACACCUGGCUCGGAGGGUCCUACGCCCACGGAAUCUCGCUGAUUGCUAGCACAGCAGUCUGAGAUCAAACUGCAAGGCGCCAGCGAGGCUGGGGGAGGGGCGCCCGCCAUUGCCCAGGCUUGCUUAGGUAAACAAAGCAGCCGGGAAGCUCGAACUGGGUGGAGCCCACCACAGCUCAAGGAGGCCUGCCUGCCUCUGUAGGCUCCA
rnacentral:lncRNA from 1 species